CCUGUUUCCACCGCUUAGUUGGAUUUUCCAAAUAGUAGUGCGCGAUCACGCAGAAAAAAAGGAUCUGAUGAAAUGCGUUGUGACGGAUGAGGAAGUAAGUCGUCCGAUAUGUAUACGUAUCUAACAGCUUUCAAAACCUGCAUUCCGGCCUAUCCGUCGACGGGAUCAGCAAGAGCUUACAGCAACACAGCAGAUCGAGAAUGAAUAACGGCCAUUAAUGAACCAACGGAAUAACUUGAACCAUUACCGAAUUGACAACGAGAAAGAAACCUACCGCAGACGACGGUCAAUACAAGCGUUCCAUCAUGCAAGAAACCACAAGAAACCAAAGAGAAUAAUGAUAAAGAAAAAAGAAAAAAAAAAGAGGCCGGUUAGCAGCGCGGGUUCGACGAACAUAGUAAAUUCAAGUCUACCGAUGUGUGUGUACCACCUGCCAGUUGGCGCACAGGGGUGGCAAUAACUGUUGGCCGUUAGAGAACUCGAGGAACGAACUUGGAUAAGAAAACACAUCCGCACUCCCGCCGGCCGCCCUUAACCGACGUCAUGAUGGCGAUUACUUAUGUAGUAACUAUGGAGAGUAAUGAGAGCCAUUCCUAUGCAACCGUUUGGAGGGAAUCGCUCUUUCUGCUGCUCGCCCAGCUUUGACUCACGUACCGUGUCCGUCUGUCCCG